UCUAGCUCAUGGGUCCUCAAACUCUGGCCACCCCAGAUGUUGCUGAACUACAACUCCCACGAUUCUCUGGCUAUCUAUGUAAUUCAAAGAAUCAUGGGAGUUGUAUUUCAGCAACAUCUGGGGGGGGCGGAGUUUGAGUACCCAUGAUCUAGA